UGCCAGGUAGAGUAAUUGGAAAACUCAUUAGGCUCAUGCCCUGAAGAUUGCAGGUUCGAAUCCUGCCCUGGAUA
rnacentral:tRNA from 1 species